AUUGAACGCUGGCGGCAGGCUUAACACAUGCAAGUCGAGCGAGCGGCGGACGGGUGAGUAAUGUCUGGGAAACUGCCUGAUGGAGGGGGAUAACUACUGGAAACGGUAGCUAAUACCGCAUAACAUCAGCUGGGCCCAGAUGGGAUUAGCUAGUAGGUGGGGUAAUGGCUCACCUAGGCGACGAUCCCUAGCUGGUCUGAGAGGAUGACCAGCCAACCUGAACCGGAGACACGGUCCAGACUCCUACGGGAGGCAUCAGUGGGGAAUAUUGCACAAUGGGCGCAAGCCUGAUGCAGCCAUGCCGCGUGUGUGAAGAGGGCCUUCGGGUUGUAAAGCACUUUCAGCGAGGAGGCGUUACUCGCAGAAGAAGCACCGGCUAACUCCGUGCCAGCAGCCGCGGUAAUUC
rnacentral:rRNA from 1 species